rnacentral:RNase_P_RNA from 2 species
GAGGAAAGUCCGGACACCAUAGAACCGCGGGACCGGGUAAUUCCCGGAGUUCGGGAUCGUAAGAAACCGGAUAUGGAAAGUGCAGCAGAAAAUAUACCGCUAGUUUUCUAGUAAGGGUGAAAUGGCGGGGUAAGAGCCCACCGCCGCUUUUGUGAAAAGGCGGGCAAUGUAAACCCUCCCGGGUGCAAUCUCGAAUAGGCGGCCAUCGUUGGUUCUGCAGGGCCGCGGGUAGAGAGCAAAGAGUCUUUUCGGUAACUGAAAGACCAAGAUAAAUGAUCAUCGCUCGAAAGAGUACAAAAUCCGGCUUA